rnacentral:rRNA from 1 species
GCCAGCCCGCUCAGAACUUAAAGGAAGUUGACGGGGCCCGCACAAGCGGUGAGUAUGUGGUUAAUUCGAUGCAACGCGAAGAACCUUACCUGGUCUUGACAUCCCGGAGACCCUUAGGAAACUAGGGGGUGCUUCCAUCUGGAAGAAUCUGGAGACAGGUGCUGCAUGGCUGUCGUCAGCUCGUGUCGUGAGAUGUUGGGUUAAGUCCCGCAACGAGCGCAACCCUUGCCUUUAGUUGCCAGCAGUUCGGCUGGGCACUCUAAAGGGACUGCCGGUGUUAAACCGGAGGAAGGUGGGGAUGACGUCAAGUCCUCAUGGCCUUUAUGACCAGGGCUACACACGUACUACAAUGGCCGAUACAAAGGGCAGCGACACUGCGAGGUGAAGCCAAUCCCGUAAAAUCGGUCUCAGUCCGGAUUGGAGUCUGCAACUCGACUCCAUGAAGUUGGAAUCGCUAGUAAUCGUGGAUCAGCAUGCCACGGUGAAUACGUUCCCGGGCCUU